UGUGAAUAACUGUCCGGUUGG
rnacentral:piRNA from 1 species